CUGGGGGACGACGACCUCACCUGCAAGACAUGACUCCCAUGUGGCUCUUCCUCUUCCUGCUGUCAGCUCCCAGAUGUGUCCUGUCCCAGGUGCAGCUGCAGCAGUCGGGCCCAGGACUGGUGAUGCCCUCGCAGACCCUCUCUCUCACCUGCACUGUGUCUGGUUACUCCAUCACCAGUGGUUACUGCUGGAGCUGGGUCCGCCAGCCCCCAGGGAAAGGACUGGAGUGGAUGGGGUGCAUAAAUGAAAACGGAAACCUUUACUACAGCCCCUCCCUCAAGAGCCGAACCUCCAUCUCCAGGGACGUGUCUAAGAACCAGUUCUCCCUGCAGCUGAGUUCCGUGACCACUGAGGACACGGCUGUGUAUUACUGUUCAAGAGACACAGUGAGGAGAAGUCAGUGUGAGCCCAGACACAAACUUCCCUGA